AAAUGCCCCAAGCCACUCCUCCAGUCAGUAAAAUAGUUGGCACCCACUCCUUAGAAAAUAUCCAAACCCUCAAAACUUGUCAGUACCAGUUUCCAAAAACCAACAGCCUUUCAAAAUCAAAACCAUUUGCUAUUCAUUCCUCUCCCUAAAGCCUACCUCUUCCUCUUUUGUCAAUCUAAUUCCCUCCUCCUCCUCCCCCAUAAUCUAUCAUCAACGACUAUCAGCACACUUCCAAUUAGGCCCAAAUGGUUUGCCAAAAGCAACGCUUGAAGGCACGCAUAUCCUUCCAUUGCAAACAGCGAAGCAAUCUUCUUGUGUAGUGUAUGUUUCGAAGCCAAAAUCUAACCUCGAGAUUUACAAACAACCACUCCAGAUCCAGAUCUCACCAAACUUUGAUUAUAAGCUGCAUCAAAAUUAACUUUGACAUCAGAACCUAAUGGCGGACACCAUUCCUCAUUAACAACAUAUCUUAUUUCUAUUUGUCCAAAUUCCCCAGAUUGCACAACAAAAUAAUCUGCACUGGCCACUGGAACUCAUUCGAAAAAUCCAGGGACUCUAUUGCUCCACGACACCUGGACACAAGACAUCUCCUCUAAUCCUUCUGUGUUGGAGAUUAACAAAAGUAGGCAGGAAAUUCCAAGUGGUUUUCCACAAAUAAAUUUUUACUUUUGAAGGGAUUUUUAGAUACCAUAGUUUUUUGUAUAGCUCCCUAGACUCAUAAUGUCUAUAAUUAGGGUUAAAAGUACCUUUAUGUAAUAGUUUAUAGGUGCUUCAGAUAGAAAAUUCCCUAAAAGAUUCCCCCUACAAACCCAGAUAUCUUCAAUCCCUUCCCAAGCAAAGGAGUUCAUAAGAUUUUCAACGCAAUCUCAUCAGAAAAGUUAGGGGGAACCCGAUAGCCAAGCAUCAUCUUUUACUAAUAUAUUUGAACCUAAACCAACACUCCAACAAAACCUGUUCUGCAGAAGACCCCUAGCCGCCCACACACUUUUCCAGGUAUACGAAGGUAAAUUGCCUAAUCUCGCAUUAAAAAAAUCAGAGUUCGAAAAA